UACAGAGGCCUCGAGCGUUAGGCGGAAUCACUGGGCUUAAAGCGUGUGUAGGCGGAUCGUUAAGUGCCUUGUGAAAUCCCACGGCUUAACCGUGGAACUGCUUGGCAUACUGGCGGUCUUGAGCCACUUAGGGGCGACCGGAACAAACGGUGGAGCGGUGAAAUGCGUAGAUAUCGUUUGGAACGCCAAAGGUGAAAACAGGUCGCUGGGAGUGUGCUGACGCUGAGACACGAAAGCCAGGGGAGCAAACGGG
rnacentral:rRNA from 1 species